rnacentral:rRNA from 1 species
UACAGAGGUGGCAAGCGUUGUUCGGAAUUACUGGGCGUAAAGGGCGCGUAGGCGGCCUUCUAAGUCAGACGUGAAAUCCCCAGGCUUAACCUGGGAACUGCGUCUGAUACUGGAUGGCUUGAAUUCGGGAGAGGGAUGCAGAAUUCCAGGUGUAGCGGUGAAAUGCGUAGAUAUCUGGAGGAAUACCGGUGGCGAAGGCGGCAUCCUGGACCGAGAUUGACACUGAGGAGCGAAAGCUAGGGGAGCAAACGGG